ACAAUCUUCCCUAAAUCUCUCCAC
rnacentral:siRNA from 1 species